rnacentral:rRNA from 1 species
UACAGAGGUCUCAAGCGUUGUUCGGAUUCAUUGGGCGUAAAGGGUGCGUCGGCGGCGCGGUAAGUCGGGUGUGAAAUUUCGAGGCUUAACUUCGAAACUGCAUUCGAUACUGCCGUGCUUGAGGACUGGAGAGGAGACUGGAAUUUACGGUGUAGCGGUGAAAUGCGUAGAUAUCGUAAGGAAGACCAGUGGCGAAGGCGGGUCUCUGGACAGUUCCUGACGCUGAGGCACGAAGGCCAGGGGAGCAAACGGG